rnacentral:rRNA from 1 species
AUUGAACGCUGGCGGCAUGCCUUACACAUGCAAGUCGAACGGCAGCGCGGGAGCAAUCCUGGCGGCGAGUGGCGAACGGGUGAAUAAUAUAUCGGAACGUGCCCAGUCGUGGGGGAUAACGCAGCGAAAGCUGUGCUAAUACCGCAUACGAUCUACGGAUGAAAGCGGGGGAUCGCAAGACCUCGCGCGAUUGGAGCGGCCGAUAUCAGAUUAGCUAGUUGGUGGGGUAAAGGCCCACCAAGGCGACGAUCUGUAGCUGGUCUGAGAGGACGACCAGCCACACUGGAACUGAGACACGGUCCAGACUCCUACGGGAGGCAGCAGUGGGGAAUUUUGGACAAUGGGCGCAAGCCUGAUCCAGCAAUGCCGCGUGCAGGAUGAAGGCCUUCGGGUUGUAAACUGCUUUUGUACGGAACGAAACGGCCCUUUCUAAUACAGGGGGCUAAUGACGGUACCGUAAGAAUAAGCACCGGCUAACUACGUGCCAGCCGCCGCCGUAAUAC